rnacentral:rRNA from 1 species
CAGUAGCCGCGGUAAAACGUAGGGCGCAAGCGUUAUCCGGAAUUAUUGGGCGUAAAGAGCUCGUAGGCGGUUUGUCGCGUCUGCCGUGAAAGUCCGGGGCUCAACCCCGGAUCUGCGGUGGGUACGGGCAGACUAGAGUGAUGUAGGGGAGACUGGAAUUCCUGGUGUAGCGGUGAAAUGCGUAGAUAUCAGGAGGAACACCGAUGGCGAAGGCAGGUCUCUGGGCAUUAACUGACGCUGAGGAGCGAAAGCAUGGGGAGCGAACAGGAUUAGAUACCCGCGUAGUCCCUGUCUCUUAUAC